rnacentral:rRNA from 1 species
UGGGGAAUAUUGGACAAUGGGCGAAAGCCUGAUCCAGCAAUGCCGCGUGAGUGAUGAAGGCCUUAGGGUUGUAAAGCUCUUUUACCAGGGAUGAUAAUGACAGUACCUGGAGAAUAAGCUCCGGCUAACUCCGUGCCAGCAGCCGCGGUAAUACGGAGGGAGCUAGCGUUGUUCGGAAUUACUGGGCGUAAAGCGCACGUAGGCGGCGAUUCAAGUCAGAGGUGAAAGCCCGGGGCUCAACCCCGGAACGGCCUUUGAAACUAGAUUGCUAGAAUCUUGGAGAGGUCAGUGGAAUUCCGAGUGUAGAGGUGAAAUUCGUAGAUAUUCGGAAGAACACCAGUGGCGAAGGCGACUGACUGGACAAGUAUUGACGCUGAGGUGCGAAAGCGUGGGGAGCAAACA